UACGUAGGUGGCAAGCGUUGUCCGGAUUUAUUGGGUUUAAAGGGUGCGUAGGCGGCCUAUUAAGUCAGUGCUGAAAUAUCCCGGCUUAACCGGGAGGGUGGCAUUGAUACUGAUGGGCUUGAGUAGAGUCGAGGUAGGCGGAAUUGACGGUGUAGCGGUGAAAUGCUUAGAUAUCGUCAAGAACACCGAUAGUGUAGACAGCUUACUAGGCUCAAACUGACGCUGAGGCACGAAAGUGUGGGAUCAAACAGG
rnacentral:rRNA from 1 species